GGAUGAGGGAAUAUGAGUAUAGAACAUUGUGUAUAGCAUGUUUGUUAGUUCUCCUGAAUUCCACCUCCUCUUUUUCCUUCUUUCUUUUCCUUCUUUUUUUCCUCUUUCUUUCUUCCUUCCUUCCUUCCUUUCUUUCUUUCUUUCUUUCUUUCUUUCUUUCUUUCUUUCUUUCUUUCUUUCUUUCUUUCUUUCUUUCUUUCUUUCUUUCUUUCUUUCUUUCUUUCUUUCUUUCUUUCUUUCUUUCUUUCUUUCUUUCUUUCUUUCUUUCUUUCUUUCUUUCAUACAUCACUGAUAAUUUCAUUGCUUUUUCUGUCUUUCUUUCUUUCUUUCUUUCUUUCUUUCUUUCUUUCUUUCUUUCUUUCUUUCUUUCUUUCUUUCUUUCUUUCUUUCUUUCUUUCUUUCUUUCUUUCUUUCUUUCUUUCUUUCUUUCUUUCUUUCUUUCUUUCUUUCUUUCUUUCUUUCUUUCUUUCUUUCUUCCUUCCUUCCUUCCUUCCUUCCUUCCUUCCUUCCUUCCUUCCUUCCUUCCUUCCUUCCUUCCUUCCUUCCUUCUUUCUGAAUUGCUCUGUACCAGUGGAAGUAGUAGCCACCCUAAUGAAAUCAUAGCUCUAUUAAAGUACAGCACUAAG
rnacentral:lncRNA from 1 species